GAGUCUAGCAUGUGCGCGAGUCAUUGGGACUCUUAACGAAACCUAAAGGCGCAAUGAAAGUGAAGGUCCGCCUAGCGCGGACCGAGGGAGGAUGGGUGGUCCCGCGGGACCGCCUCGCACUCCCGGGGCGUCUCGUUCUCAUCGCGAGAAGAGGCGCACCCAGAGCGUACACGCUGGGACCCGAAAGAUGGUGAACUAUGCCUGGUCAGGACGAAGUCAGGGGAAACCCUGAUGGAGGUCCGUAGCGAUUCUGACGUGCAAAUCGAUCGUCGGAACUGGGUAUAGGGGCGAAAGACUAAUCGAACCAUCUAGUAGCUGGUUCCCUCCGAAGUUUCCCUCAGGAUAGCUGGCGCUCGCUUCUCGCGAGUCUCAUUCGGUAAAGCGAAUGAUUAGAGGCAUUGGGGUCGAAACGGCCUCAACCUAUUCUCAAACUUUAAAUGGGUGAGAUCUCCGGCUUGCUUGAACUGUGAAGCCGCGAGAUAUCGGAUCAGAGUGCCAAGUGGGCCACUUUUGGUAAGCAGAACUGGCGCUGUGGGAUGAACCAAACGCCGAGUUAAAGCGCCUAAAUCGACGCUUAUGGGAUACCAUGAAAGGCGUUGGUAACUUAAGACAGCAGGACGGUGGCCAUGGAAGUCGGA
rnacentral:rRNA from 1 species